rnacentral:rRNA from 1 species
UUGACCUCAAAUCAGGUAGGACUACCCGCUGAACUUAAGCAUAUCAAUAAGCGGAGGAAAAGAAACUAACAAGGAUUCCCCUAGUAACUGCGAGUGAAGCGGGAAAAGCUCAAAUUUAAAAUCUGAUGGUCCUUGUGGCUAUCCGAGUUGUAAUCUAGAGAAGUGCUAUCCGCGCUGGACCGUGUACAAGUCUCCUGGAACGGAGCGUCAUAGAGGGUGAGAAUCCCGUCUUUGAC